rnacentral:rRNA from 1 species
UAAGGAAUAUUGCUCAAUGGGAGAAAUCCUGAAGCAGCAACGCCGCGUGGAGGAUGAAGGGUCUAUGACUUGUAAACUCCUGUAAAGAAGGAAAAAAUUCCCAUUUGAUGGGAGAUGAUGGUACUUCUGGAGUAAGCCCCGGCUAACUACGUGCAAGCAGCCGCGGUAAUACGUAGGGGGCAAGCGUUGUCCGGAUUUACUGGGUGUAAAGGGUGCUCAGGCGGAUUUGUAAGUCAGAGGUGAAAUCUUACAGCUUAACUGUGAAACUGCCUUUGAUACUGCCAGACUAGAGUAUGUAAGAGGGUGAUGUAAUAUCUGGUGUAGCAGUGAAAUGCGUAGAUAUCAGAUAGAGCACCAAUGGCGAAGGCCGUCACUUGGUCCAUUACUGACGCUAAAGCACGAAAGCGUG